ACUUAAGCAUAUCAAUAAGCGGAGGAAAAGAAACUAACAAGGAUUCCCCCAGUAACGGCGAGUGAAGAGGGAACAGCCCAAAUUUGUAAUCUGGCCCUUUCAGGGUCCGAAUUGUAAUCUCGAGAACUGUUUUCCGUGCUGGACCGCGUAAAAGUCUGUUGGAAUAUAGCUUCAUAGAGGGUGAGAAUCCCGUACAUGACGUGGACUACCAGUACAAUGUGAUACAGUCUCUAAGAGUCGAGUUGUUUGGGAAUGCAGCUCAAAAUGGGUGGUAAAUUCCAUCUAAGGCUAAAUAUUGGCGAGAGACCGAUAGCGAACAAGUACCGUGAGGGAAAGAUGAAAAGCACUUUGGAAAGAGAGUUAACAGUACGUGAAAUUGUUGAAAGGGAAACGCUUGAAGUCAGUCUUGUACUUUGUUGUUCAGCCUUCGGGUGUAUUCAACUUUGAACAGGCCAGCAUCAGUUUCAGAUGUCGGAUAAGGGUAGAGGAAACGUAGCAGUCUCGGCUGUGUUAUAGUCCUCUACUUGAUACGACGUCCGGGACUGAGGAACGCAGUGAGCCUUUUGGCGGGUCCUCGGACCUUCUCACUAUGGAUGCUGGCGUAAUGGCUUUAAACGACCCGUCUUGAAACACGGACCAAGGAGUCUAACAUGCUUGCGAGUGUUUGGGUGUCAAACCCGGGCGCGUAAUGAAAGUGAAUGUAGGUGGGAAUCGUAAGAUGCACCAUCGACCGGUCCGGAUUUUUAAUGAUGGAUCUGAGUAAGAGCAAGUACGUUGGGACCCGAAAGAUGGUGAACUAUGCCUGAAUAGGGCGAAGCCAGAGGAAACUCUGGUGGAGGCUCGUAGCGGUUCUGACGUGCAAAUCGAUCGUCGAAUUUGGGUAUAGGGGCGAAAGACUAAUCGAACCAUCUCUGGUGGUUAAGAAGCCAAUGGGCUUAGUGACUGAUGAGAGUCGCUACACUGUCAAAUUGCGGGAACCUCCUGAAGCUUCGUACUACCGCCCAUGCCAGGGAAAUCUGGAUGAGCACCAAGAUGUAAUGAUCUUGGGUAUGGUAAUAACGUACAAGAUUGGAUUACCUGCAGCCAAGUCCUGUAUAAGGAUGCAGUUAACAGACUAAAUGGUGGUGGGUACAGUAUAUCACUGUACUUAAGAUAUAGUCGGUCCUCCUGCGAAAGCAGGCUGAUCAGAAGACUGUGGUACUUUCCUCAUCAGGAGUAUCACUGGAGCUGACAGGACUCUAUGAUCUGGAUUCAACGCUAGAGCNGUC
rnacentral:rRNA from 1 species